AUUAUUCUGUUGUUGCUGUGUGUCCUGGAGAUCCUGCAGCUUUGGAUCAGCAGCACUGGCCCUAUUUAUGCUUCCCAACUGUUCACAGAUGCUAUAGAUUUUAGGAUGAGCUAACUCUGAUGGAUCUAGUGGUAGCUGAGCUGCUCAGCACAUUGGCUCUCCCUUAUGAUGUCCACCAGGACAAGCCCUCCAGCACUGCUCCAGCUAGACCACAGAGUGUGUCACCAUCACCAGGACGCAGGGCCCCAUUCUGAACCUGAGUUUGCUGGUAGAGAAGAUUGCAUGACACACAUAAAAGUGGACGAGGAAGAGGAACAAGAAGGAAAUGGAAGAGGCCUUCGGAUGAAGAUAUUGAACUCUCAGUUCUUCCUGCACCAUGCCUGCCUGGAUGCUGUCAUGCUCCUGCCUUGAUGAAAAUGAACUGAACCUCUGAACUUCAUACUAUGCCAAGAAAAUGCAAGCCUUUGGUCAGUAUCCCACUGAGAGCCCUCCUCAUACCAGUGGACAUCACUUGUUUUUAGGGGCUAUACAAAGCUACUAAUACCAAUUUCUAAGUGAGUAGGGCAGAUUUCCAUUAUAUUUCUUCAUUCGAAAUGCUAAAUAAAAUGCAAUUUAUUAUCC
rnacentral:lncRNA from 1 species